UACGUAGGGUGCAAGCGUUAAUCGGAAUUAUUGGGCGUAAAGGGUAGGUAGGUGGUCUCAUUUGUCUGGGGUGAAAGCCUUGAGCUUAACUCAAGAAGUGCCCCAGAAACGGUGAGACUGGAGUCCUGGAGAGGGUCGUGGAAUUCCCGGUGUAGCGGUGAAAUGCGUAGAGAUCGGGAGGAACACCAGCGGCGAAGGCGGCGACCUGGACAGGUACUGACACUCAACUACGAAAGCGUGGGGAGCAAACAGG
rnacentral:rRNA from 1 species